GAAGCUACGAUCGACUCACCUGCACGAAGCUACGAUCGAUGCUCCCCUGUAACUACGUACGAAGCUACGAUCGGUAAUUUUGAAGGAACUCAGGAAGUUGAUCGACUCCUCCUUCUCCCUCACUGUUUGCAAUCGAUCGACUCUACCCUGAAAUCUCAAAGCAUCAGACGACGAUCCUUCUGCUUAUAGCUCCAUCAUCAAGAAGGUUUUCCAACUUAAAUUGUUCCUCUUCCCCCACAAAGAAAACGAGCCCAGAUCGUCUUCCGACCUCCGGCUCCUGCUGCUGCUUUACUUCCUUCACCAGAGAAUCAGUUUUAGAUGGAAACUGAAGAUUUUAGAAAUCUUUGAGGUAAAGGUUGUUUCUCACCCAACUAACUGCCGUUGCUUGUGUAAGGGUUGGUCUGAAGCCUGCAACAUAUAGAAGUGACUGCAAAGGAAGAAGGAAUAAAAGGAAGAAGCUGAAUGAUAGGCUCUUUGCACUUAGGGCAGUGGUCCCUAAUAUUAGUAAGGUCUUACUGCCUAAGAAUAGCAGUAUCAUGGGGAUGGCUUUCUGUAUUAGAGAAGAGAAUUUUUGAAAAAGUUUGAUGAAAUGAAGGUUGGUCUAGCAAGGGAAUUCAAGGCAGAAAAUAAGAAGGUACGGGAGGAAAUGUCGAUAGAAAGACUAAGAUAUUUGGAAGCCACUGCAAUUUACUAUGAAGCAAUUGGCAUGGUUGAAGAUUACCAACAGGCUGUUUUAGUGGCCAAUCUUGGAGGCAUUCGAGAGACACAUGGUCUACACUCCAAUCUUGGCCUCAAGAAUUCUCCUCAGGUCUAAUUAUAAAUGUUUUAGGUUUCAAUUUAUCUAGUUUUACAUAUUUUGUUCUUAGUUUCAUCAUAUUUGAUGCAAACAAAAUGUUAUUAUCAUUUCGAGGUGGAUAUGCGAGGAAUCUAAGAACUAGAAAGAGAGAUGUCAAGUUU